rnacentral:sRNA from 1 species
AUUUUUAUUUAUCUAAUCGUUAACUCAUGCAAUAAGAAAUUAUUUUUAGUAUAAAAACUUUUUUUUUCUAACAACAUUCUCAAUAUUUCAUCAUACACAUAAUUCAUAAACAACGUUCAUCUUAAACCGAUUUAACAGAGGGUAGUGUUCAAUUCUAGCAUCCUAAGUAUUUGAUGAUGAAGCUCCGUACGUAUUCUGCACCCUCGGUGAUUUAAUAUAUAAAUAUUAGUUUAAGAGAAUAACAUACUCAAAUCAUUAACUAAUACACAAUUAUUAUAUACUCAUACUUUGAGUUUGGAUUACAAAAAAAAUCUUCGAGUAUGAAAAAACUAUUAAAAUUGUUUUAUUGAAAAAUCAUGUAAUAUUAUAAUAAAUUUAGUAAUAGUACAUUAAAUGUAUAAAAUAAAAUAAUAUAUAAAUUCAAAUAAUAAA